UGAAUACGAGACGCUAAGGCGUCGAAGUAGUGUAUGUCAUACUUCCAAGAAAAGCUUGCACUGUCAUAAGUAAAAAAUGCCUGUACCAUAACCGACACAGGUGGGUAGGUAGAGUAUACUAAGGGGCGCGAGAUAACUCUCUCUAAGGAACUCGGCAAAAUAACUCCGUAACUUCGGGAGAAGGAGUACCUUAUUCUAUAAGGUUGCAAUAACAAGAUCCAAGCAACUGUUUAUCAAAAACACAGGUCUCCGCUAAGUCGUAAGACGAUGUAUGGGGGCUGACGCCUGCCCAGUGCCAGAAGGUUAAAGAAGUCGGUUAGCAUUAGCGAAGCUGGUAACUGAAGCCCUGGUGAACGGCGGCCGUAACUAUAACGGUCCUAAGGUAGCGAAAUUCCUUGUCGGGUAAGUUCCGACCCGCACGAAAGGCGUAAUGAUUUGGAUACUGUCUCGGAGAGGGGCUCGGUGAAAUAGACUUGUCUGUGAAGAUGCGGACUACCUGCACCAGGACAGAAAGACCCUAUGAAGCUUUACUGUAACUUGAAAUUGAAAUUGGACUUUAUUCGCGCAGUAUAGGUGGGAGGUGUUGAUUAUAAUCUUGCGGGAUUAUUGGAGCCAUCAGUGAGAUACCACUCUUGUAAUGUUAGAUUUCUAACUUUGAAUCAUUAUCUGGUCAAAGGACAGUUUCAGGCGGGCAGUUUGACUGGGGCGGUCGCCUCCCAAACGGUAACGGAGGCGUACAAAGGUUUCCUCUGAACGGGUAGAAAUCGUAUCUAGAGUGUAAAGGCAUAAGAAGCCUGACUGUGAGACCUACAAGUCGAACAGGGACGAAAGUCGGUCUUAGUGAUCUGAUGGUACUGAGUGGAAAGGCCGUCACUCAACGGAUAAAAGUUACUCUAGGAUAACAGGCUGAUCUCCCCCAAGAGUUCACAUCGACGGGGAGGUUUGGCACCUCGAUGUCGGCUCAUCGCAUCCUGGGGCGGUAGUACGUCCCAAGGGUUGGGCUGUCCGCCCAUGAAAGCGGUACGCGAGCUGGGUUCAGAACGUCGUGAGACAGUUCGGUCCAUAUCCGGUGUAGGCGUUAGAAUAUUGAGAGGAGCCUUCUUUAGUACGAGAGGACCGAGAAGGACAUACCUCUGGUGUACCAGUUAUCGUGCCAACGGUAAACGCUGGGUAGCUAUGUAUGGAGUGGAUAACCGCUGAAAGCAUCUAAGUGGGAAGCCCACCUCAAGAUAAGUAUUCU
rnacentral:rRNA from 1 species